GCCCGACUCAGCCGCCGCCGCCGCUACUCAUCUGAGCGGCUGAGACGCCGCCGGCGCCACUGCCUACUGCAUCUUCUCCUCCACCCGGCCACCCCCGACGCCGACUCCCACGGUGGCUGGCAUCUCCCGCUUCUCCGCCCUCGCGUUCUCACUGACCGCCGACCGUUGCACCGUCGCUGGACUUGCUGCACGGAAGGAAGGAGAGCCGGAGGAGGCCAAGGACCCGCUGUCGCCUAUCCGUCUACCCAGCGUCCACCCACCUCCGAUUCGAGCUUCGAGCCUUCGACAUCGUCCCAACUCUCCACACCGGCAACCCAGCGGCGACCGUCCGUCCACCUCGACACCUGGGCAUAUCGGUGUCGUCUUCUGCAGUUCGCCACAACGUCAUGUACAGCAGAAACUGAGCAAUCAGUCAACGUAAUAACCCCCAUCUCCCAUCAUUAGUCUCGAAUUUUUGUUUCAUUCUUUGUGCACUGUUCUGUAUGUACAGGGUAACUUGGAUGCACUGUUCUGUAUUGUUGGUGACUUGUUUCAUUUUUGCUUAUUCUUCCUAGAUGUUCAUAUGAUGUUAGUGGAGAAUCAGGGUCCUACUAGUAUUUGUUACUGAUUUUGUUGGAUGCAUGUACUAUUGUUCAUAUGAUGUUAGUUGUAACUUGUAUUUUGGAAUUCUUGUCUAAUUCUUCUUGCCUCGAAUCAGUAUAGAAGAAUGAUCCCGUGAAUUCUAAUUAUAUUACUGAUUUUUCGAUGGCCAAACCUGGUGGAGUUGGUGAUGUUGAGAUGACCGAAGAGGUGAUGCGAGUUUAUGAAGAAGAAGAAGAAGAAGAAGAAGAAAGAAAGAAAAGAGGAGCAUGAACAGAAAAAGAAGGAAAUGGAUGAACAACCUAGAAGAAGGCAGAUGAAAAAAAGAUCACAAGUGUGGGAUCACUUUUCUGAGUAGGUACAAUUCCAGUGGAGCUCACAAAUUCUCCAUGAUUGCUAGGAAACAAGUUCAAGCUUCUGACACUUGUGGUUCAGUAAAAAAGGCCAACUCCGCAAAAGGAGAUAACGACGCGAAUUAUUGUUGGUUCAACCGGAAUUUUCAGGAAAUGGCAGAAGUUGUGGUUAUAAUAGCAAUAAUCAAAUGGAACAUGCAGACUGGACAACUCCG